UUGGCUGGCUGCUACCACAGAUCUUGCCCACUUGCCUUCCUGCCUGUUCCUGUCCUCCUUAUCCCAGACCCCGUCAGUUCCCAGUUCCUGCUUUCCUGCCUUGAUCUAGGUCCCUGUUCCUAUGCCCUACGCUGACUCCGGCUUUGAUCCCUGGCUUGGCAACUGGGUGGUUCCAGGCUCCUGAUUCUAACCAUUAGGCCUGACUGCCGAUGCCCGAGUCCCUAUACCUCCUCCAAAUCUUUCUCUCCAGGAAGCUGUGCUUCUCCCUCUAAGUUCCAUGCAGCUGCUACAUUUCCCAAAGUACAUUUAAAGAACUAAGGAGAAGUUUGUACUAAGAUAAUUGGCCUGAAGGUCACAGCCAAGGAAUAAUUGGAUGGCCAGCCAAUUGGCUGGGAGGAACUUGAACUCAAGUCACCUGGGAUGAUCCACCUACAACCUGAGAGUUCACACUGGUACUUGUUAAUCAAAUACAGGGCAACAAGCUGGGAAAUAUCAGCUCUUGUCUACCUUAUUUUUGUUGGAGGCCUUUAUGGAAGAUGGGAGAACUAGCAGGAUGACAUCAAGAAACUAGCUUAUUGCACAGUUCCAGGAAGGAGGCUGGAGAAGGUGGAGACAGCAAGCUGGGACAGGCAUGAACAGCUGGCCAAGAGGAACACAGCAGAGCCAGUAUCAACCGGCUCUCCAUGCAGGACACCACAGUGCUGGUGGCGUGGUGGAAGAAUAGCUCUGAGAGACACUAUAAAAAGCUGAAUCUCCAGGGAAAGAAGGAUGUGGAAAAUACUUUUCCCCAGUGAACGUAUUGCUAGUGGGAGGUACCCGACUCCUCACUCUGGAGACUAGCCUGGAAGUUCUCUUCAGAAAAUAGGUGCAGUAUGAGCAGCAGCAGGAUACGUUUUCAGGCCCCAUUCUCCUCCUCCUUUCACUGCCCUCUGGUGUGUGGACAAUCUCCAGUUAGCAGCAAGUGGCUUCCAGCCAAUUUGACCCCUGUGCAGCAGAGUGCAGAAAGAAGAGCAGACAGGCCCCUGAAGCACAGUAGUGUGGGCAUCUGUUUGUCCCAUGGGGACUAUUCUAACAGCGAUCUCCAUCCACCCAGGCCCUGUGGCAGUGAAGACUGGCAUGAUGGGGAACCACAGGGUGGUCAGCCUGGCCUGAAUCAAGUCUAAUCCAAAGGCCUGUGCACCAAGGGAGUGCUUGUGUGUGGAUAUGAGAUGUGGUACAGCACAGGAGGAGUUUGUCUGGCACACCAAAUUUCUCUAGUGUAGACAAGACCAUAGAAGGAAAUUAGGUUCAGGCUCCUCAGCCCAUUCACACUUUGGCCUUUCUGCUGUCCCUGCUAAUCAGUACUAGUCAUGACAGUGGUUUCUGAGAGGCAAACAUCUGCACACAGGAAACUGGACUGAGACCACUGGUGGCAUUUCAUGAAGUUCACUAACUGGCAGCCUCGAGGUCAAAGGUUCAAUAUCUCAUGUCCAAUCUCAGUAACGGUCCAGUCUACUUAAAGCUUCAGAUUAGCACCCAGAAAACUGCUGCUUAGAACGUGUGCAAUGUUUGGCCUAGGCUAGAAUGCCACAGUUCUGCCCCAGAACACUGCAAUCACCCUUUGGCAUCCUGCUGGUUCAGUGCUACAGUGCCACAAGAAGAUCAGACUGGAAACACCAGCGGGGCAGAUCUGCUCCACUCUGGCUACUGAGAAAGUCGCUGCUGAAUUGUGGGAGCAGGGUUUGUUGCUGGGAGAGCGUACCAGGGCGGGCUCAGUCGCGAGCUGGCUCAGCACCCUGCCACUCAAAUCCCCACUCGUUUAUAUUAACUGAGCUUUGAAGGUGGGUAGUUGACAAAGCAGGCCAGUUAUCUGAGUGGAGAGACAACUGAGGGGCUCACGGGUGGAAGUGUCCCCAGCAGCUAGCACUAUAUAAGCACACAGGAAGGAAGUGCUGCGCAGAGAGUGGGGGGCCCGGAGGAAAGCAGAAGUAAGUAGGAUGAGCUGCUGCUACUCUCCCUUCCCCAGAAGCAAGCAGGGAAGCUCGCUACUGAUUGUAAAUAUAAUAUAUUCUAAAGCACAGCAGUGGUUAAGAAGACCUGGUGGUUUUGGUCAAUGGCUGAGGCUGGAAAGUUCUCUCAGGGAACUACCCCAAGACAGAA